GACGAAGGGGGCUAGCGUUGUUCGGAAUUACUGGGCGUAAAGCGCGCGUAGGCGGUCUUUCAAGUCAGGAGUGAAAGCCCCGGGCUCAACCCGGGAAUAGCUCUUGAUACUGUUGGACUUGAGUCCGGGAGAGGAUAGUGGAAUUCCCAGUGUAGAGGUGAAAUGCGUAGAUAUCUGGAGGAACACCGGUGGCGAAGGCGACAUCCUGGACCAACACUGACGCUGAGGAGCGAAAGCCAGGGGAGCAAACGGG
rnacentral:rRNA from 1 species